UGGGGAAUUUUGGACAAUGGGGGCAACCCUGAUCCAGCCAUUCCGCGUGAGUGAAGAAGGCCUUCGGGUUGUAAAGCUCUUUCGCAAGGGAAGAAACGAUACAGUCUAAUAAACUGUGUUAAUGACGGUACCUUGAUAAGAAGCACCGGCUAACUACGUG
rnacentral:rRNA from 1 species